rnacentral:rRNA from 1 species
UACGGGGGGGGCAAGCGUUGUUCGGAAUUACUGGGCGUAAAGGGCUCGUAGGCGGCCAACUAAGUGAUACGUGAAAUCCCUCGGCUUAACCGGGGAACUGCGUCUGAUACUGGAUGGCUUGAGUUCGGGAGAGGGAUGCGGAAUUCCAGGUGUAGCGGUGAAAUGCGUAGAUAUCUGGAGGAACACCGGUGGCGAAGGCGGCAUCCUGGACCGAUACUGACGCUGAGGAGCGAAAGCCAGGGGAGCAAACGGG